GUAAUUCCAAUUCCCAUUCUAAGCUCUUCCAUAUUUAUAAUUCCAUUUUAUAAUUCUAUAAAUAGGUAAUUUUACCUUAAUCUUUUUGUUUGUUUAUAUUCUGUGGGUAAUUCCAAUUUCGAUUCUAAUCUCUUCUUAACGAUUCCAUGAAUAGGCACUUUUACCUUAAUAUUUUUGUUUGUUUAUAUUAUCUUUUGUAAAUUGUGCUAAUGGGCUAAAUGUUGUAUAAAUACGUGAAAGUGGGUGAAGUUUAUUAGUUCCUGCAUCAGUCAGUUUGUCUAUUUCAAGCUUGUCAGUUCGUCGAUUUCAAGAUCAAAUUGUGUUUAAGUCAGGGGUGGGCAAAUACUUUUAAGCGCGGGCCAAAAUGAAAUUUCAAAUUUGUCUUCAAAUUUCAAAUGUCUUCUGGGUGGUACCGUGUACCGCGUUUUUGGUGGAGUUUUUUUUCUGCCCAAGCAAUGUUUUUGGCAAAAAUACUAUAAAUAUUAUCAUUGUAAAGCAUUUGGACAAAUAAAUUUGAUUGUUAAUAAUAGAUAGUUGUCUUACUUGGGUGUACAUGCGAAGAACUUGUGCCCAGUAAAAAAUAUGUCACGUAAUUUUUAAAUAAUUAUGGUCAAUCAUAUAUUAUUUAGUCAUAAAAAAGAUCCGGAUAAAAAAUGGAGAUAUUGAACAAGUGCACAAAAUUAAAUACUUAGGAGUCUGGAUUACGGAAGAUCUAAAUCCAAAAUUUGAUUAUGAAUAGAACAAUCAAGAGCAGUUUUUUUUAAUAUGAGGAAAUUUUUGGAUAACCAAAGACUCAAUCUACAAAUCCGAUAUCAGAUGGUAAAAUGUUAUAUCCACUCUAUUCUUUUUUAUGGUGCCGAAGCUUGCACUAUUAAUGUUGACUAAAUGAGAAAGGUGGUAGAUUUUGAGAUGUUUUAGGAGAAUUUUAAAAAUACCAUUGACCGAUAAUAUUGCGAACGAAAUGGUGUUACACACAAUGGGAAGAGAACUUGUGACCACCAUAAAAGGAGACAGACAGCAUAUUUGGAGCACAUACUUAGAAAUGAUAAGUACGAGUUGGUGCAGCUGAUUAUUGCACUAUAUUUAAGAAAAUCAGUAUUUUUCAAUUAUUCUCGUCGUGUUUGUAAUAAGGGGAAAAUGAUUUAGUAAUUUCUUAUUAAAGUUUUCAGCAAAUAAAUUGAGUUUUGUCAUAAAUUGUUUGACGUUUGAGUGAAUAUUAAAAGCGAACUGGUUUUUUCCUUGUAGAUUAUUUAGUUCAUUCAAAUAUUUUACGAUAUCUACAGAAAAUGAGAAAUCGUUUAGCCAUGCCUUAUUUUGUUAUUCAGGAAAAUUAUGUAGUUUUUCUUUUAUUGACAAAAAGGCUAUUUUAUCAAUUAAAUUAAUAAUAGGUUUGUUCUAGCAAACAGUCAAACUAGUCAGAAACCGUCAGCAAACAGUUGGUCAGUGAGAGAACAUAAUACAGUCACCAGUGCUAUCCCCUCUACUCGCGCUGGUCCACUAUUCGCUGAUGGUUUCAAACCGUUUGAAGCUGAUGCUAGAACAAACCUAUUGAAACCUGUCCAAAACUUUAUCGAUGCUAAGCCAUCUCACUUCGGUGUAAUAAGGAAUUUCGUAAAAGUCACUUUCAAUUUCUCUCAAAAA
rnacentral:lncRNA from 1 species